rnacentral:lncRNA from 1 species
AGCUUGGUGUCAUAAACUAUUUGGAUGAGGAUGUGGAUGCACAAAGCAUUUCUAAAGAUCAACUGCCAACAGAAAAAUACAACGGUAUUCAGCUCAGAUGGGCGUCCCAUCGAACACUAUGAGGUGCUUCCGUCGUUUUCUUUUGCUGCUGGUUCUUCCUGAUGUUUCUUCUUCCAGUAUUCAUCAAGUGGUUGUGCAAAUAUAGCUUUCCCAGAUACAACUCCAAUUCUACAGAUUGGCCAAGUAAAAGAUCAGGCUAAUGGAAGUAAAAACAUAAUUCAAGUAAAAGGUGCUACAUUAUUCGCUCUAGUCUAGAGGACAUAAGUUGUAACUUCUGAGCUCCAAGGAAUAAACUUCACAAUGCAGAUGCCAAAGCCAUAUCAGCAACUGCUCUGUUCAAGAAAGGGAUAAAGCUGCAACACUGGAAGAAUACACUAUAUUUAAUCUCCCAUAAUUGUUACCUCUAUUAUGAACAACUUACUCCAGAAAUUUUACUUAGGUUCGAACAAAGUCAUCGCAUACACAUUCUCAUUAAUCUGCUUAGCAUUUUUUUGAGGGGAUAAUCGUGGCUUACAAAAACCCAGCUGAGAAAAGGGCAGAGUUCAUCAAAAGGUAAUGAUUCAAGAAAAGGCAGGCUACCAAUACUUUCAAGAGAUUAGAAUGUCAAAAGUACCAGUAGAAGUAUCAUUACAGCAAACAAGGAAGAAGAGGAAUAGAAAGGCAUAUUAUGCAGCAGUUAUUUGCUAGUGCUACAAGGGAGUACUAACAAAUUCACUGUUAAGUAUCUUGAAGGCUAAAAGAGGCAGCAAUAACUCUUAAGAAACACAAGACAUCCUUAUCUCUAGCAAGGCCCCUCAAAAUCAAAAUGUUGUCAAAGAAAAGAGGAAAAUGAAACACGAAGUUUGACAAAUUUAAUGAUAUCCAUUCAGGUUGAGUAUAUAAGUUAUUAAUGUUCAUUGAAGGUUCAACGGAUAAGAGCUAAAUACUACUGCGGUUAUGCACUUACAUCUGGUGUCUACGCAAAAAAAAUAUUUUCACUCUUCUCUUGGACAAAAAAGGCAUCCAUCCGCAUUUAUAUGCUUGACCUGAAUCUAAGUUAGUAAAACGCUGUGCCCAGCUAAGCAACCCGAACACACACUCAGAGGCAUAACCCCAUCCAAAAAGAUGUUGAAAACAACACCUAUUUUUUAUCUUUAAUUAGAUGGAAAAAUGCUCCUUUACUUAUCUCUGAGUAUAAGACGUAGAUGCACAGUGCAGUACUAUGGAUGCCGGCAGCUUCAACCUGUUAAGGGCAAUGGCAGAACUCUAUUAAUGAUUCUUUUAUUUUUCUUUGAUAAACUUCUUCUCUGUAUCUAACUUGUCAAUAUGUCAAAAUGCACAUUAGUAAAUACACCACAGAUGCAAAAAUGCAUACUUGGCAACCAUACACCAAAUAUAUCAAAAAUCACAUUGUCACAUUGUCUGACAGCCAUAGCAGCAGAAACUUGUCAAAAGGUACAUAUACCAGAAGCUAGGAAGACAAAGGGGUAAAAGUGAGAAGGAAAGCAGGUUUUUCUUUUACUUCUCUUCUUUUUCUCUCAAUAUCUUUUGGCGGGGAGCUUUAGAGGAUGUUCUCCAAUUCACUUUCAGCCAUUGGUCAAGGAAUUCAUUGAUCCAGUGAUCGAGGUCCAGCUGUGAAUAAGGAAGGAGAAACCACAUCUAGUGGAUUGUCUCAUACUCCUUAUUGUCGAUCCCCAAAAAUGCAUAGAUAUUUUAUUGAGGUUUUAAGCUUAAUUUUAGUUGCUCUAAAGGAUAGAUUGCGGGCACCUAUCAUGUUGAUGUCUUCAGCUUUCCGGAAGUCCAGAAUUUUGUCUAGGCAGGUGAAGCAAGCUAAGCACAGACUUAGAUUGUUGGAGGAACAAGAGGAAUCGCAAAUAUCAAGGGAAAGCGAACAGCACAUUAGAUUUAGGACAGGCCAAGAGUGGCCUCUACAAGACACUACUUUGAGACUUGAACCUAUACCACACCUGAAGCUAUCAAUAAAUAACAGAACACUAACAACUGAACAACCAACAAUAGAAAUUCUUUAUCCUUUUAAUCAUUAGAUGAAGGGAAAUCUCUUUAUAUCUUGCGCAUUGAUGAAAACAUUAGUAUGACAUUUCUUCGAGCACGUUAUCUUCACUAGAUGAUCAUGAAAAAAUGGAACUUCCGGUUUAUGGGCUUUAUCUGGUUUUGCCUCUUUGAUGUUCUGGGCAGGGGAAGAGGGUAGUUUCAUUUAGACAUUUCUUCAAACACCUUUGCUCCAAUUCAUGAUUUAAGAAAACCCAGAACACCAAAUAUAAUGGGCUUUUUUUGUGAUUUUCCUCUUGGUUGUUUGAAGAGCGGUACGGAGCAAUAUCCUUGACGGAAUAUGAAUCCAUACUGAUGCAUAUCAUCUGUUAAUCUUAAGCAAAACUUGUAUGGAGGAAGGGUAAUAAAAACUUACAUUACAGCGCCAAUUACCAGCGGAAACGACAAAAAUCUUCUCCUUCCGAACAUGUUCGCUGUACUUCUCUCAGUUCAGUAAUUUCCGUCU